AGUCUUAGUGCAAUUUUAAGCUAUUAAAACUUAAAAGCUUA
ensembl:miRNA